rnacentral:tRNA from 1 species
GGGGAUUUAGCUCAGUGGCUUAAGUGCCCACCUUGCAAGUGGGCGAUCAUGAGUUCAAUCCCUG